UUUUUUUUUUUUUUUGGAAUGGUCAGUUUCCCCAGAAAGAAAUCCUUGGAAUCCUUCAAUUUUUUUAAUAUGUGAUAUAAAUCUAGCUGCUAAUAUUCUGUCUGGUGUUCUAGCUGUCUAUUCUAAUUACAUGAACUUUUUUGUAUAUCUGGUUUCUAAAAAGUUCUUUGUGUCAGGAAACUUAUUUUUAUUUUUAUUUUUUUUGUCUUUUUUGCUAUCUCUUGGGCAGCUGCCGUGGCAUAUGGAGGUUCCCAGGAGCUCAAAGACAUUACAUGAAAAAAGCAAAGUAUACAAGACUGUGAACUAUGUAUAUUUCAUGUACACAGAAUGGAAUGGCAGACAGAAAGACUGGAGACCAAUAGGGGAGAAAGUAGGGGGAGGAUAGAUUUAUGUAAAAUUAUAUCCUUUCGUAUCUUGUGAAUUUUGUUAAUAAUAUGUAUUUCACAUGAAAAUAAUUUACUGCAAAUAAAACUCAGAGCUGAGCUGAGUUUUAUAAAAUGACUCUUUUACUUGAGGCUGUAUCUGCCCUCAUCCUGAAAUAAAGAAUGCAUGUUACUGAUUCCAUGGGUGAAUGGGGGAGGCCCUGGAACAAGAGGAUCAAAAGAAUACUAGAACAAAGAUAUAUAGUUUUAAUAUCCCCAAAAGAUUCCUCACAUCACCACAGAAACUAGGCUAAGUUUCACUGUCUAACAUACUUCCAGUCCAUGAAUUUGUGAGACUGGAAGAAGGUAAAAUGGAACAAUGAGACUUCACAAUAUGCAUCUCAGAGGGAGGCCAGUUUCCAUCAAACACUUACAGGGUGGAAAGAGCUCCAGACUGGAGCAAACACUCAUUACAACCUUAUGACUUGUGCUGGAGAGUCCCACAGGCUUCAGAGAAGUUAGCAGCUUCCUGGGCCAACUCAUCUCUUCUAACAGUAGUUUAAAGUGGCACUCUAGGAGUUCCUGUCAUGGCACAGUGGUUAACAAAUCCAACUAGGAACCAUGAGGUUGCGGGUUCGAUCCCCGCCCUUGCUCAGUAGGUUAAUGACCCGGUGUUGCCGUGAGCUGUGGUGUAGGUUGCAGAUGCGGCUCGGAUCCCGCAUUGCUGUGGCUCUGGCAUAGGCCGGCAGCUACAGCUCCGAUUAGACCCCUAGCCUGGGAACCUCCAUAUGCCGUGGGAGUGGCCCAAGAAAUGGCAAAAAGACAAAAAUAAAUAAAUAAAUAAAUAAAUGAAUAAAGUGGCACUCUAAAAGACCAAAGAGGAGUUCCCACUGUGGCACAACAGGAUCAGUGGUGUCUCUAGAACUCUGGCUCUCAGGUUCAAUCCCCAGCCUGGCACAGUGGGUUAAGGAUCCAGCAUUGCCACAGCUGCAGUGCAGGUUACAACUGUGGCUUGGAUCAGACCCCUGGCCUGGGAACGCCAUAUGCCAGUGGGGUGGCCANAAAAAAAAAAAAAAAAAAAAAAAAAAAAGAAGUAAAAGGCCAAAGAUUUGGGAAAAAAAUAGUUUUAUUAACUUUAAUCAUCUAAACCAGAGGCAAAACAAUCUAGUGGUUAAGAUUCUAAAAUAAAAUAUAAGUAGGCCCAAAUCUCCAGAGAACCAUUUCAUGUCAUGUGGAAAAACGAAAAAUCUCUUAUAAGGUAUAACUACUUGGUAGAAAUUAUCUCAGGAAUGUUGUCCCCCAAUAAAACAAAAGCGAUAUUAAUUCAACUGAGGGCAAAAUGAACAGUGUGUCAAGGUCUACCAACCAGUUCCAUAGUGCCUUAAACAGCAGCAAAAUAGAGCAAAUUUCCUUCUCUACCAUGUUCUUAUCUUACAAGAAACAGCAUCUAUUGGUCCAAGGGAAAAACAGUACAACAACACAAAAGCAGCCUGGCUGAAGGUGGUUGUGGCUUUAUCUGCAGGAGCCCAUCAGCAGACAUAAGCCCACUUAAUUUGACUUAAACUCUUCCAAGCCUCCAACAGAGUAUUAUUUUCAGAAGAAACGGAUCAAAGCCAUUUUCUCUCUAAAAAAAUUCUACACAAUCCAUGUUCUAGAUAUAUAUUCGGGUUUUUUUUUUGGNUAUAUAUUCUUUUUCUCACAUUAUUCUCCUUCAUGUUCCAUCACAAGUGACUAGAUAUAGUUCCUUGUGCUAUACAGCAGGACCUCAUUGCUUAUCUAUCCCAAAUGCAAUGGUUUGCAUCUAUUAACCCUAAACUCCCAGUCCACCCACUCCGUCUCCCUUCCCCUUGGCAACCACAAGUUUGUUCUCCAAGUCCAUGAGUUUCUUUUCUGUGGAAAGGUUCAUUUGUGCCAUAUAUUAGAUUCCAGAUAUAAGUGAUAUCAUAUGGUAUUUGUGUUUCUCCUUCUGACUUACUUCACUUAGUAUGAGAGGCUCAUGCUUGUAAAAAUGCUAGACUCCAAUGAAGAAGUCAGAGAAAGAUAAAAUUAUUUCUUAAAAAAUGAGAGUAAAAUGGCAACUUCCAAGAAGUAUUUAAUCUCAAAUACAAAGGUGAAACAGAUUAAGCCGAGAUUAAAUGUCAAGUUUGUAGUUUGGACAAAUUCAAUAGUUCAUUUUAAAAAUAAAAGUAGAUCUUACUGCUAGAGACUGCAUUCUGCCUACAGAACUACUAUUACAUUUAAUACUAAGUAGAGUUAUGAGCUUCAACAGAUAGGCAAAUAAAUAACCUGAAAACAAUACUUUAUAUCCAUUUAGAGCAAAUGUAUCAUGUUUAACACAUCUGAGGUUGUUACUAUAUUUCAUGAAUGUCAUUCAAUAAACAUUUAUCAAAUACACACUAUGCCAGGCUCUGGGAAUUCAAUGGUGAGCAAAAAAAGACCUAGUCCUUGACUUCAUGGAGCUUACAGUCAAAUGAGAAAGACAAUUAAAUGGGUAAUAAUACUGCCGUGUGUUAAGGCUAAGACAGAAGUACAAGGUGCAGUGGGGAAGCCAAGCAGGUGCACCUGACCAGUGUGGAAGAGGGAGUGGGACAAUAAGUGGUGAAGAGAUUAAGACCCUUCCUAAAAGGUUUCGAAAGUAAACCAAGACUUUAAGAAUCACUAGAGGGGGAGCUCUUAUCCCACCUCCCAGCAGCCCUGGGAGCUAUCUGCUUUCCUUUAAUAAAGACUUUGCUUGCUUGCUGCCUGUGUGUUCGCGGAGUUCAUUCUUUGACUGCCUUAAACAAGAACCCAGAUUCCAGUAUCAUCUUUCUGGUAUCAUCUUUUUGGGGGCUCGUCUGAGAUCCGAUCCAAUACAUCUGCACCCACAAGGUUUAACAGAAGUCAAGUAAGACAUUGAGACAUCAGUUGCUAAACAGGAAAACCUCCAGGAACAGAUUCAUAAGAUGUCAGAUCCAACUCCAGCUUUUGGAGCUGCCCUCUGGAAUUGGUUGACCUCCUCCUCCUGGUGAAGAUAUUUCCUUACCACAGCCAUCAUUGUGAUCUUGAUCCUAUUAUUUGGACCCUGUAUAAUUAAUUGUAUUUCCCAUUUCAUUACAUCCCAAUUAGAAGCUAUCAACCUUCAUAUGGUGAUAGAAGGGGUACCCAAUGUAAUGUAUCAAAGCCCACUCAACCAUCCCAUGACUGGAGACCUAAUUGCUUUCCCCUAACGAUGCCCCUUUUCAGCAGGAAGCAGCCAGAGCAGCUGUCACCCCUUUUCUCCCCGCUUGGUUAAGAGUCUCCAACUCUAGAGGGGGGAUUGAGGCAGAAUAUUAACUCAGGUAGUCAGUGUAGGAGCAUGGGCCUUGAUGCAUUUUUUGAUAUGGCCAUUGAUUAACACUGUGGCUUAAGGGCUCCAAGGGAGUAAUAUCCCCACAGGCCUUGUUUACUAUAGGGAGUGUACCUAUGCCCAGAUGGACAUUAAUCCCUAAUCUCCUGUAAACUAUGAGACUUUCAGGACAUUUCCACCCCUAAGAUCCUAUUGGACAAGGACUGAUAUAGAUAAUUGAACAAGGCCAGUGGGAGAAAACCACAUCUUUCUGGACCCCACACUGGUACCUCCCCCCAUCUUUAAGGGAUAAAAACCCCUAUAGGAUGAUAGAGAAAGGGGGCUCUUCUCCCUGCUUCCAGCAGCCCUGGGAGCUAUCUGCUUUCCUUUAAUAAAGACUUUGCUUGCUUGUUUAAAAAAAAAAAAAAAAAGAAUCACUGGAACUUAUUCAAAGGGAAAGAGGAAGAAGGUUCCAGGUAAAGGAAGUCUUCUACUUGUAUAAGAGUGGAGAAGCAAGGUAGGACAGAGAAGGGAAAAAAUAUAGUGCAUUUGAAAAGUUAAAAGUACUUAAUUCACUUCUUAGGAGAAUGAAUAAAAACAUCCUCCAUUCACUCCUCAAUUUCAUUUGCUUACUGAUUCCAUUAAUAUUUAUUGGGCUCUAAUAAAGUUAAUUCAUAUAUCAGGACCUACAAAGUGGAGGCGACCCCACUGAGCUCGUCCACAUCAUCGCAAAUCUAAACCUAAGUCAGCCUGCACUUAGGGGCAACACCUCACUGUCAAGGAAACCCAACACACACUAAUCAUAAUCCUCCCACUCAGGGUCAGGUAGCUAGAAAAGAGGACCUGCUUGCCUAAUAAGGAACCCCCUGAGCACCUAGCCAGUCAUCCCCUGUUUUUGAGCUGCCUCUUCUAAUGCUCUAUAAAACUUGCUUUUGCCCCAAAUCCCUACAGAAGUCUAUUUUCCCUUGAAUAAAGGAUAUCUAACUUGUUACUAAAUUGCUUUAGUUUUUUCAUUUCACAGCUCCUACUCCUAGGCAGCUGCCUUGUUCAAUAAGCAAGGUAUCCUUAACUUUUUCAAAUUACAAAGCCCAAAUAGGAGUCCCUGCUGUGGCGCAACGGGAUCGCCAGCAUCUUGGGAGCACUGGGACACAAGUUCAAUCCCUGGCCCAGCACAGUGGGUUAAGAAUCGGGCAUUGCUACAGGUGUGGCAUAGGUUGCAAAUGUGGUUCAGAUUUGAUCCCUGGCCCAGGAACUUCAUAUUCCACAGAGCAGCCAAAAAAGAAAAAAAAUGAAAGAAACAAAGCCCCGAUAAAAGGAAAUCAAUACACCCUAUAAAGGCUCUCUCUCUUGGGAUGAUUACAUUACACAUAAUUCAUUUGAAAAACAACCGGGGGCAGGGACAUGUUGCAAAACUGGUAAGUUCUCUGAGAAGGAAUUAAGUUUUUAAAUAAUUGGUUUAUUUAUUUUCCCAUUUUCCUUAUCCCACUGCCUCUGAAAUUUCCGAAUAUGUACAUCUUAUAGUUCAGUGGGUCAGAAAUUUGACACAGGUCUUGAUGGGAUAAAAUCAGGGUGUCAGCAAGGCUGCAUUCCUUCUGGAGUCUCCAAGGGAAGAAUCUGUUUUCUUGAUUUGUUCCACCUUUUAAGGGCUGUUCUCAUUCUUGCUUUUGGCUCUCUUUUCUCCAUCUUUAACAUAGGGGCUAAUCAAGUUCUUUUUCACAAUACAUCACUCUGACUCUCUCUUCUGCCUCCCUUUUCCAUUUUUAAGGAUUCUUAUGAUCAUAUUGGACCCACCAGCAUAAUCUAGGAUAAUCUCUGUGUUUUAAGGUCAACUGAUUAGCAACCUUAAUGGCAUCUGUUACACCUAACAUAAUCAGAGGUUCUGAGGAUUAGGAAUGACUGGGGAGUCAUCAUUCUUUCUACCACAGCAUAUUAAAUGAGUGUUUAUGGUUACUGAUUACAGUCAACAUUGAGGAAGUUGCAAUGGUGGCCUUUCUACUCCCAUGAUUUAAAAAAAAAAAAAAAAAAAACAACUGUGCAAAAUCAUACCGUCAAAGAAAAACAUGCAUUCUAAAAGUACUCUAGGUAGAAACCAGAUGACUAUAGAAAUAAGAAAGAGUAUUUAAAACAGCUAAGAGGAAAGAUGACAUAUGAAGUAGGUCUUAAAAGCACAGGUAGGAUCCGUAAUAGGCAGAAAUGAGAAUGUGCUGAUAUUUCCGGUGGGGGCUUUGCAUGACCAGAUGGAAGGAAGAUUUUUUUUUUUUUAAAGGAAGACAUAUAUAAAAAGUCCCAAUUGGAUGGAGUGAAGAGUACUCAAUGGGAAGCGGAUAGAACUGAGAACGUCAAGGAGAAAGUGGUCAAAAAUUCAAAUGUGGCAGAAAUAAAGGAACAGAGAAGUCACUGGAGUUUUAAUUAGUGGAUCACCAGUAAACUUCAAAUAAAUACUCAGUCAGGUGCCAGCGGCAGGAGACAGAUUGCAGCUUUUACAGAAGUGGGCUGGCAGCAAGUGUAAAUGAUUACUUUCACAAAUCUAGUUUUAAAAAGCAAAAUCUUGAUUCAAUCCCUGGUCCGGAAACUUCCACCCAACACAAGCGUGGCCUUAAAAAAAUUUUUUUUAAAAAGCAAAAUUUCUUUAAAAAGAAGUUUGGUAGUAUACAGUAUGCCAAGGGCAAGAAAUCAAUGAAACUGGUCAGAUAAAGAAGAAUAACAGUAAAAAGCAGAUCAAAGACAAAAGGUUGCAAACCUCCAGUCAAUAUACAAAGGUAAAGGACUUUAUAUUAAUUUACUGUAUCAGUUAAAAAUCAUUUAAAAUUUUAAUUUUAGGGAUCAAUAGUAAGGCAAGAUUUAGCUACUAAACUCAGUUUACACACAGAUUAAUGGGGGAGUUUCCAUCGUGGCUCAGCAGUAAUGAACCUGACUGGUAUCCAUGAGAAUGCAGGUUCGAUCGCUGGCCUUGCUCAGUGGGUUAAGGAUCUGGCAUUACCAUGAGCUGUGGUGUGGGUCACAUACAUGGCUCAGAUUCUGCGUUGCUAUGGCUGUGGCAUAGGCAGGCAGCUACAGCUCCAAUUCGACCCCUAGCCUGGGAACCUCUAUAUGCCAUGGGUGCGGCCCUAAAAAGACAAAAAAAAAAAAAAAA
rnacentral:lncRNA from 1 species